GGCAUGCUGGAGGUAUCAGAAGUGCGAAUGCUGACAUAAGUAACGAUAAAGCGGGUGAAAAGCCCGCUCGCCGGAAGACCAAGGGUUCCUGUCCAACGUUAAUCGGGGCAGGGUGAGUCGACCCCUAAGGCGAGGCCGAAAGGCGUAGUCGAUGGGAAACAGGUUAAUAUUCCUGUACUUGGUGUUACUGCGAAGGGGGGACGGAGAAGGCUAUGUUAGCCGGGCGACGGUUGUCCCGGUUUAAGCAUGUAGGCUGGUUAUCCAGGCAAAUCCGGAUAAUCAAGGCUGAGGUGUGAUGACGAGGCACUACGGUGCUGAAGUAACAAAUGCCCUGCUUCCAGGAAAAGCCUCUAAGCAUCAGGUAACAUCAAAUCGUACCCCAAACCGACACAGGUGGUCAGGUAGAGAAUACCAAGGCGCUUGAGAGAACUCGGGUGAAGGAACUAGGCAAAAUGGUGCCGUAACUUCGGGAGAAGGCACGCUGGUGUGUAGGUGAAGUCCCUGCGGAUGGAGCUGAGACCAGUCGAAGAUACCAGCUGGCUGCAACUGUUUAUUAAAAACACAGCACUGUGCAAACACGAAAGUGGACGUAUACGGUGUGACGCCUGCCCGGUGCCGGAAGGUUAAUUGAUGGGGUUAUCCGUAAGGAGAAGCUCUUGAUCGAAGCCCCGGUAAACGGCGGCCGUAACUAUAACGGUCCUAAGGUAGCGAAAUUCCUUGUCGGGUAAGUUCCGACCUGCACGAAUGGCGUAAUGAUGGCCAGGCUGUCUCCACCCGAGACUCAGUGAAAUUGAACUCGCUGUGAAGAUGCAGUGUACCCGCGGCAAGACGGAAAGACCCCGUGAACCUUUACUAUAGCUUGACACUGAACAUUGAGCCUUGAUGUGUAGGAUAGGUGGGAGGCUUUGAAGCGUGGACGCCAGUCUGCGUGGAGCCAACCUUGAAAUACCACCCUUUAAUGUUUGAUGUUCUAACGUUGGCCCCUGACCGGGGUUGCGGACAGUGUCUGGUGGGUAGUUUGACUGGGGCGGUCUCCUCCCAAAGCGUAACGGAGGAGCACGAAGGUUAGCUAAUCCUGGUCGGACAUCAGGAGGUUAGUGCAAUGGCAUAAGCUAGCUUGACUGCGAGCGUGACGGCGCGAGCAGGUGCGAAAGCAGGUCAUAGUGAUCCGGUGGUUCUGAAUGGAAGGGCCAUCGCUCAACGGAUAAAAGGUACUCCGGGGAUAACAGGCUGAUACCGCCCAAGAGUUCAUAUCGACGGCGGUGUUUGGCACCUCGAUGUCGGCUCAUCACAUCCUGGGGCUGAAGUAGGUCCCAAGGGUAUGGCUGUUCGCCAUUUAAAGUGGUACGCGAGCUGGGUUUAGAACGUCGUGAGACAGUUCGGUCCCUAUCUGCCGUGGGCGCUGGAGAAUUGAGGGGGGCUGCUCCUAGUACGAGAGGACCGGAGUGGACGCAUCACUGGUGUUCGGGUUGUCAUGCCAAUGGCACUGCCCGGUAGCUAAAUGCGGAAGAGAUAAGUGCUGAAAGCAUCUAAGCACGAAACUUGCCCCGAGAUGAGUUCUCCCUGAGACUAUAAGUCUCCUGAAGGAACGUUAAAGACGAUGACGUUGAUAGGCCGGGUGUGUAAGCGCAGCGAUGCGUUGAGCUAACCGGUACUAAUGAACCGUGAGGCUUAACCUU
rnacentral:rRNA from 1 species